UGAAGAGGGUGAAAAAAAACAGGGCAGGAGCAACCCCUCCACUGAAAUGCACUGGGAAGGGGGACUUAGAUACUAACACAAGUUCAAUUCAAGAAGCAUUUAUUGAACCCUCCUCAUGAGCCAGGUCAGGGUGUUCAGCACUGAGCGUGUCAAGAUGAAGACACAUAGCCUCUAAGUGUCCACCAUCUGCAAUAGCUAAUGUUUAAUUGUCCUUAAAAGUUGAAGAAUGUCGACUGGAUUGUCUGCAAAUCAGUCAUGUGAGUAGUGUUAAUCUAAUGAAGAAGAAUCUUAAAAGACAAAUUCUCCAAAUGCUGCUGCUCCUGCAUCCUGCUGCUCUACCUGCUGUGGGGAGGAGUGACCACUCCCUGAUAUGCUGCAGAUGCAAUUGAGUAGCAGCUUCAUUCCACAUUUCUCCAACAUCUUUCAUGGUGAGGUCAAGAGCAUAUUCAAAACCAUGUGUGGCUCAGUCCAACUGGAGAGACCAAGUCAAAGACCCUCAUUUCCAUAAGGUAGAAUCUUGUCCAUACCUCUUCACUCACAUCACAGACCAAUCUUGCAGAAGCCAGGAGGUUCUGAGUAAGGUCUGCAUAAAGAAAUAAUACCAUAGUUUCCAACUGGCCAGUUUCAUUCUCUAACCAAACAGCUGCUGCCUGCUUACUGAGUGUGCAUGCCCACACACACUCACACUGACUGUAACUCACCGUCAGCUGUAACCAGAGAGUUCUCUCAAGCCAUCUGCAGCUGGGCAAAAACCUAGAAUGAUUAAGUCAUUGAUAUAACACCACUUUCCUGAAAAUGGCAAUACUUAAAUACAUCUAAUCCUGAUCAAUACCUUGAUAUUCUAUAUCAUACAUUUAAAAGUCAAGUUGCCUAAUUUUUUAAAUAUAUUCCAA
rnacentral:lncRNA from 1 species